rnacentral:rRNA from 1 species
UACGGGGGGGGCAAGCGUUGUUCGGAAUUACUGGGCGUAAAGGGCGCGUAGGCGGUUUGCUAAGUUGAAUGUGAAACUCUGGGCUUAACCCAGAGCCUGCAUUCAAUACUGGCAGGCUAGAGUUCUGGAGGGGAUAGCGGAAUUCCUGGUGUAGCGGUGAAAUGCGUAGAUAUCAGGAGGAACACCGGUGGCGAAGGCGGCAUCCUGGACCGACAUGACGCGUGAGGAGCGGAAAGCCAGGGGAGGCAAACGGG